GUUAGAAUUGCUGAUCUCAGGUGGGGGCAUCGUUAACACAUUGCCAGGCUAUUAACGCAUGAUACAAGUGAGUGUGAAAAGGGCUCAGCCCAUGCGGGGGCUGUAAGAGGAGAGAGUCCUGCUGGCUGGGAGGGAUAGUUCAGAAUUUGUAUCCCACUUUUUUCUCAGAACAUUUUUUGCUUUUAUUUUUUUCUCCUGCUAGCAGCAGCCGUAACAAAACCUGUCCUUGCAAAGAAGUGAGUGUCAUCAAAGGUGACAACUUUUUUUUUCUUUUAACUUUUAAAUUAGCUAAAAGGCCUAGGCUGUUGAAAACUUGAUUAGAGAUUUUGUAUGCUUAAGGGGUCUUAACAGUGCGCUUUUACCCAGGUGGAGUCAGAGUACAAAGAGGAAGAAACCUCCGUUUGACACUGCCUCACUAAUCUCAGCAGUGUAUCACUCAUUAUUCUGCACAGGAUUAAAGGCUUUGCUGGGGCAGAUUCUUCAACUCAGAGACGUAAUCUUCCCACACCUGUCCUCAGCAUAUAUUUUCCUCAGAGAAAAAAGCUCUACAGGCUCUUUGUUCUACAAAAAAGAUCUGGAGAUAUCACCUGGUGUUUAUCUGUGACUAUGAAAUCCAUAAUCCUUACAGGUAAUUAUGUUGUCUGCCUAGAAGUUCUCACUUUUGAGGUUUGGUUGUUGGAUGAGCUGCUGAUUCUAAUAAAUCUGUUGGGAUUGUGAGGAA
rnacentral:lncRNA from 1 species